GGCGAGAUGGCCGAGCGGUCUAAGGCGCUAGAAUCAGGCAAGUUGCAGAAGCAACGAGCAAUCUAGUCCUCCGGGGCGUGGGUUCGAAUCCCACUCUCGUCA